UGCUUAGAUAUCACGAAGAACUCCGAUUGCGAAGGCAGCCUGCUAAGCUGCAACUGACAUUGAGGCUCGAAAGUGUGGGUAUCAAACAGGAUUAGAUACCCUGGUAGUCCACACGGUAAACGAUGAAUACUCGCUGUUUGCGAUAUACGGCAAGCGGCCAAGCGAAAGCGUUAAGUAUUCCACCUGGGGAGUACGCCGGCAACGGUGAAACUCAAAGGAAUUGACGGGGGCCCGCACAAGCGGAGGAACAUGUGGUUUAAUUCGAUGAUACGCGAGGAACCUUACCCGGGCUUAAAUUGCAGAUGAAUUACGGUGAAAGCCGUAAGCCGCAAGGCAUCUGUGAAGGUGCUGCAUGGUUGUCGUCAGCUCGUGCCGUGAGGUGUCGGCUUAAGUGCCAUAACGAGCGCAACCCUUGUUGUCAGUUACUAACAGGCUCCGCUGAGGACUCUGACAAGACUGCCAUCGUAAGAUGUGAGGAAGGUGGGGAUGACGUCAAAUCAGCACGGCCCUUACGUCCGGGGCUACACACGUGUUACAAUGGGGGGUACAGAGGGCCGCUACCACGCGAGUGGAUGCCAAUCCCAAAAACCUCUCUCAGUUCGGACUGGAGUCUGCAACCCGACUCCACGAAGCUGGAUUCGCUAGUAAUCGCGCAUCAGCCACGGCGCGGUGAAUACGUUCCCGGGCCUUGUACACACCGCCCGUCAAGCCAUGGGAGCCGGGGGUACCUGAAGUGCGUAACCGCGAGGAGCGCCCUAGGGUAAAAC
rnacentral:rRNA from 1 species